rnacentral:rRNA from 1 species
GACGAACGCUGGCGGCGUGCUUAACACAUGCAAGUCGAACGGUGAAGCUCCAGCUUGCUGGAGUGGAUCAGUGGCGAACGGGUGAGUAACACGUGAGCAACCUGCCCCUGACUCUGGAAUAAGCGCUGGAAACGGCGUCUAAUACUGGAUACGAGAAGGGUCCGCAUGGGCACUUUCUGGAAAGUUUUUCGGUUGGGGAUGGGCUCGCGGCCUAUCAGCUUGUUGGUGAGGUAAUGGCUCACCAAGGCGACGACGGGUAGCCGGCCUGAGAGGGCGACCGGCCACACUGGGACUGAGACACGGCCCAGACUCCUACGGGAGGCAGCAGUGGGGAAUAUUGCACAAUGGGCGAAAGCCUGAUGCAGCGACGCCGCGUGAGGGAUGACGGCCUUCGGGUUGUAAACCUCUUUCAGCAGGGAAGAUGCGAAAGUGACGGUACCUGCAGAAGAAGCACCGGCUAACUACGUG